UUUACGUGGUAGUAACGUUUCCAUGUGAACAGCCUCGCUGGAAACGCUUCAUCACACGUUAGAGAAACGUCGAGCUCCCUACUACAAAUGCGAUAAACGGGAGCUGCAAUCCUAUGUUCGUGGCGAUUGUUAAGAAUAAAUCGCGACUGCUGAUAGUUGCAUACACUU